rnacentral:rRNA from 1 species
AUUUCCCUCUUUCUUUAGGCCUAACACAUGCAAGUCGAACGGCAGCACAGUAAGAGCUUGCUCUUACGGGUGGCGAGUGGCGGACGGGUGAGGAAUACAUCGGAAUCUACUUUUUCGUGGGGGAUAACGUAGGGAAACUUACGCUAAUACCGCAUACGACCUACGGGUGAAAGCAGGGGAUCUUCGGACCUUGCGCGAUUGAAUGAGCCGAUGUCGGAUUAGCUAGUUGGCGGGGUAAAGGCCCACCAAGGCGACGAUCCGUAGCUGGUCUGAGAGGAUGAUCAGCCACACUGGAACUGAGACACGGUCCAGACUCCUACGGAAGGCAGCAGUGGGGAAUAUUGGACAAAGGGCGCAAGCCUGAUCCAGCCAUACCGCGUGGGUGAAGAAGGCCUUCGGGUUGUAAAGCCCUUUUGUUGGGAAAGAAAAGCAGCAGGUUAAUACCCCGCUGUUCUGACGGUACCCAAAGAAUAAGCACCGGCUAACUUCGUG